ACGCACGCUGGCGGCGUGCUUAACACAUGCAAGUCGAACGGAAAGGCCCCUUUGGGGGUACUCGAGUGGCGAACGGGUGAGUAACACGUGAGUAACCUGCCCUUGACUUCGGGAUAACUUCAGGAAACUGGGGCUAAUACCGGAUAGGAAUCCUUGCUGCAUGGUGGGGGUUGGAAAGCUUCGGCGGUUUUGGAUGGACUCGCGGCUUAUCAGCUUGUUGGUGGGGUAGUGGCUUACCAAGGCUUUGACGGGUAGCCGGCCUGAGAGGGCGACCGGCCACAUUGGGACUGAGAUACGGCCCAGACUCCUACGGGAGGCAGCAGUGGGGAAUAUUGCACAAUGGGCGGAAGCCUGAUGCAGCAACGCCGCGUGCGGGAUGACGGCCUUCGGGUUGUAAACCGCUUUCAGCAGGGGCGAAGCUUGUGGUGACGGUACCUGCAGAAGAAGCACCGGCUAACUACGUG
rnacentral:rRNA from 1 species